GAGGCGGGGCCGUCACGUGGGGCAGCGUGGGCCGCUGCCUUGGAAACGCAGAGCGCGCGCUCCAGGUAAAGGCUGCUACGCCCAGGACAGGGUUCUCACGGUGGAGGAAAGGACUUCUGCGGGAUACCACGCUGUGCGCCAAAAAGCCGGGCGGCUUCGGAGCCAGAGCAGCGGCUCUGCGGCGCAGGCGGCGGGUCGGGGCAGCCUUGAAGCCGGGAUCCGGCCCGAAGGGGUCUUUUUGGAGUUCCUGAGCUCAGUGCCCCAGAAGGCACAUACUUCAUAUGAAAUAUGAAGGAUUUCAUACUGCACAAGAAAAAGCCUUGAGAAAGACAGAAUUGCUUGUGGACCGUGCGUGUUCCACCCCACCUGGGCCCCAGACCGUGCUGAUCCUUGAUGAGCUCUCGGAUUCCUUGUGCAGAGUGACCGACUUGGUAAGAUGCUUUGCCUCAGACUUGAAGCUACCUCUCUUUCAACCUGUUAAAAUUUAAGUGAAAUUUAUCCUUUGUUGUUUACUGUUAAUAUUAGAUUAUAAAGUUAAAAAUGUCUGAAACUAUUUGAGAUCCAUUGGGUAUAAUUUUUUGUGAUGAAAUACAUCAUUAGGAAUGGGGAAAAUGUUAUAGGAAAAGGUGACAUUUAGAACUUGUACUUUAAUAUGUGUAUUUAAUAAAAUAUACCUGUAAUAUAUAAUGAA
rnacentral:lncRNA from 1 species